ACAGCAGUAGCCGCGGUAGUACGUAGGUCCCGAGCGUUGUCCGGAUUUAUUGGGCGUAAAGCGAGCGCAGGCGGUUAGAUAAGUCUGAAGUUAAAGGCUGUGGCUUAACCAUAGUACGCUUUGGAAACUGUUUAACUUGAGUGCAAGAGGGGAGAGUGGAAUUCCAUGUGUAGCGGUGAAAUGCGUAGAUAUAUGGAGGAACACCGGUGGCGAAAGCGGCUCUCUGGCUUGUAACUGACGCUGAGGCUCGAAAGCGUGGGGAGCAAACAGGAUUAGAUACCCCCGUAGUCCCUGUCUCUUAUACA
rnacentral:rRNA from 1 species